ACGAACGCUGGCGGCGUGCUUAACCCCUGCAAGUCGAACGGAAAGGCCCUGCUUUUGUGGGGUGCUCGAGUGGCGAACGGGUGAGUAACACGUGAGUAACCUGCCCUUGACUUUGGGAUAACUUCAGGAAACUGGGGCUAAUACCGGAUAGGAGCUCCUGCUGCAUGGUGGGGGUUGGAAAGUUUCGGCGGUUGGGGAUGGACUCGCGGCUUAUCAGCUUGUUGGUGGGGUAGUGGCUUACCAAGGCUUUGACGGGUAGGCCUGAGAGGGUGACCGGCCACAUUGGGACUGAGAUACGGCCCAGACUCCUACGGGAGGCAGCAGUGGGGAAUAUUGCACAAUGGGCGGAAGCCUGAUGCAGCAACGCCGCGUGCGGGAUGACGGCCUUCGGGUUGUAAACCGCUUUCGCCUGUGACGAAGCGUGAGUGACGGUAAUGGGUAAAGAAGCACCGGCUAACUACGUG
rnacentral:rRNA from 1 species